GACCUCGGAUCAGGUAGGGAUACCCGCUGAACUUAAGCAUAUCUAGGCGGGGAGAA
rnacentral:rRNA from 1 species